rnacentral:rRNA from 1 species
AUUGAACGCUGGCGGCAGGCCUAACACAUGCAAGUCGAGCGGGAACUUCGGUUCUAGCGGCGGACGGGUGAGUAAUGCGUAGGAAGCUACCCGACAGAGGGGGAUACCAGUUGGAAACGACUGUUAAUACCGCAUAAUGUCUACGGACCAAAGUGUGAGACCUUCGGGCCACAUGCUGUCGGAUGCGCCUACGUGGGAUUAGCUAGUUGGUGAGGUAAUGGCUCACCAAGGCGACGAUCCCUAGCUGGUUGGAGAGGAUGAUCAGCCACACUGGAACUGAGACACGGUCCAGACUCCUACGGGAGGCAGCAGUGGGGAAUAUUGGACAAUGGGCGCAGGCCUGAUCCAGCCAUGCCGCGUGUGUGAAGAAGGCCUUCGGGUUGUAAAGCACUUUCAGUAGGGAGGAAGGAUGUUGUGUUAAUAGCACAGCAUUUUGACGUUACCUACAGAAGAAGCACCGGCUAACUCUGUGCCAGCAGCCGCCGUAAAAC